rnacentral:rRNA from 1 species
UUGACCUCAGAUCAGGUAGGAAUACCCGCUGAACUUAAGCAUAUCAAUAAGCGGAGGAAAAGAAACCAACAGGGAUUGCCCUAGUAACGGCGAGUGAAGCGGCAACAGCUCAAAUUUGAAAUCUGGCGCAAGCCCGAGUUGUAAUUUGCAGAGGAUGUUUCUGGCGACGCGCCUUCCGAGUUCCCUGGAACGGGACGCCAUAGAGGGUGAGAGCCCCGUACGGUUGGAUGCCUAGCCUCUGUGAAACUCCUUCGACGAGUCGAGUAGUUUGGGAAUGCUGCUCUAAAUGGGAGGUAUACGUCUUCUAAAGCUAAAUACCGGCCAGAGACCGAUAGCGCACAAGUAGAGUGAUCGAAAGAUGAAAAGCACUUUGAAAAGAGGGUUAAAAAGUACGUGAAAUUGUUGAAAGGGAAGCGUUCAUGACCAGACUUGGGCAGGUUGAUCAUCCGCGGUUCUCCGCGGUGCACUCUGCCUGCCCAGGCCAGCAUCAGUUCGCCCCGGGGGACAAAGGCUUCGGGAAUGUGGCUCCUCCGGGAGUGUUAUAGCCCGCUGCGUAAUACCCUGGGGCGGACUGAGGUUCGCGCACUGCAAGG